UUAAAUCAAAACCAAGAAAGAAAUAAUAAGAAAAAAAGAAAAAGAAAAAAGAAAAAGAAAGAAAGAAAAGAAAAUCGAUCGAUCUAGUCUUGUUC
rnacentral:rRNA from 1 species